AAAAAAUAAAAGAUUGAAGGGUAAAAGAAAUGCUAAGUCAUUUUUUUGUGGUUCUCCAAGGCAUUGCUUGCUUUGCUCUUCCUUCAUUCUUCUUUUCUUGUCGUAACUACCAAGCUUAAUAGCUUUUUACAUGGCCGAAUAUGGCUACUCUCAAAACCUUGCAAACACUCUUUGAAGAAUGGGAAAAAAGUGAAAGAAGGUAGAAGAGAUUGUAAG
rnacentral:lncRNA from 1 species